rnacentral:rRNA from 1 species
AAAAAAAAAAGUAAUAACUUUAAAAUCUCUCUUUUAAGUGAAAAAAAAAAUAAAACAUUAAAUAAAAAAAUCAAAAGAGAAACCAUAAGUAGUAGAGAACAAAAAAGGAAAAAAAAAUAGAAUAACUUAAAAUAAGAUGAACGGAACAUCUAAUCAAAAAAACUACUAAAAUAAAGUACCGAAAGGGAAAAAAAUUCUAAGACCCACUAAAGUUAAUAACUAACCUUCCUCUUGCAUCAGGAAUUUACAAAAAAAAUAUGGGUAAAUUACUUCCUAAAAGAGAAAACACAAAAAAACCCAUAAAAUCCGAAACUUUAUGAUCUCAUCAUGAACAGUUUAAUACAGAACAAAUUUAUAGAUGUUGCAAUAUCUCAAAAUGAUUCAUGAUAAGCAAUAAAAAAUUAAACGCAUAAAGAUAUAGCUGAUUUUCGACGAAAGCCAUUUAAGUAGACACACAAAAAAGAACAUAUAAAUCAACCUUAACUUUUUUUUAAAAAAAAGACUUAUUGUGAAAAGAUAAUAAGUCAAAAAGGAAACAGCCUUAACCUGAAAUAACUGUUACAAACCACCACCAAUAAGCCCAAUUCUCCAAACAAAAGUAGGCUUAGAAGCAGCCACCUUAUAAUAAAAGCGUAAAUGCUAAUCAAUAUAAAAAACUUAAUAAAUUAAUUAACAUAAAACUAACAUUCAGUAAGGUAGUCGAACACUCGCUAACUAGCGAACAGAUAAUGUAAAUAUAAGUAACAACUAAUAAAAAACCCCUAACAAAAAAUACAACCGGGAAAACCGUUAUUAAUUCCACUCAGAUAGGAACUAAAAAAAAAACCUUUUUUUAAGGAACUCGGCAAAUAGAAUUUCGACUGUUUACCAAAAACAUAGCUACCAGAAAAAAUUAAUGGUGGUGAAACCUGCUCCAUGAUUUCCAUUUCCCAUAAAAACAUAAAAACAAUAAACAAAAUUAAAUAGCUGCGGUAACCGUGACCGUACUAAGGUAGCAUAAUAAAUCGUCUACUAAUUGUAGAAUAGAAUGAAGGUCACACGAAAAUUCAACUGUCUCAAAAAAACAAUUGUGAAAAUAAAAAGUACGUGAAUAUACGUACACUAACGGCAAGACGAUAAGACCCUACGAACUUUACCAAAAAUUUACAUUUCAUCAAAACAAAAAAAUAUAAAUAAUACGUUUCGUUGGGGCAACGACCUUAAAAAAGUAACUAAGGCUAAAAUAAUCAAAUCAAUAUAAGACCAAUUAAUCAAAAAUACAAAAGAUAAAACCCAUUACACACACCGAAAUAAUAAUGCAAAAAAAUAAAAGUUCCGUAGGGAUAACAGCGUAAUAUUAUUUCAAGAAAAUCAAUCUUAAAUAAAGAUUGCGACCUCGAUGUUGAAUUGUUGUACCCAGAAGCCAAAUAUCUUCAACGGUUGGACUGUCCUUCCAUUAAAACAACCCAUGAUUUGAGUUCAGACCGAGGCAACUCAGGUCAGAUUCUAUCUACCGUUCCCUAAUCACAUUAAAGAGUAUCAGUACGAAAGGAAAAAAUUCUAUUAUCCCCCCUAAAAAACGAUAAACAACAUAAGAUAACGAAUCAAUAAUGUAAUACCAGAAAAGAUAAAAAUAAAAUAAAUUAUG